UACAGAGGGUGCGAGCGUUAAUCGGAAUUACUGGGCGUAAAGCGUGCGUAGACGGUCAUGUAAGUCGGGUGUGAAAGCCCCGGGCUCAACCUGGGAAUUGCAUUCGAGACUGCACGGCUAGGAUGCGGAAGAGGGAAGCGGAAUUUCCGGUGUAGCGGUGAAAUGCGUAGAUAUCGGAAGGAACACCAGUGGCGAAAGCGGCUUCCUGGUCCAGCAUCGACGUCAGGCACGAAAGCGUGGGGAGCAAACAGG
rnacentral:rRNA from 1 species